UGGGGAAUAUUGCACAAUGGGCGCAAGCCUGAUGCAGCAACGCCGCGUGAGGGAUGACGGCCUUCGGGUUGUAAACCUCUUUUAGCAGGGAAGAAGCGAAAGUGACGGUACCUGCAGAAAAAGCGCCGGCUAACUACGUGCCAGCAGCCGCGGUAAUACGUAGGGCGCAAGCGUUAUCCGGAAUUAUUGGGCGUAAAGAGCUCGUAGGCGGUUUGUCGCGUCUGCUGUGAAAUCCCGAGGCUCAACCUCGGGUCUGCAGUGGGUACGGGCAGACUAGAGUGCGGUAGGGGAGAUUGGAAUUCCUGGUGUAGCGGUGGAAUGCGCAGAUAUCAGGAGGAACACCGAUGGCGAAGGCAGAUCUCUGGGCCGUAACUGACGCUGAGGAGCGAAAGGGUGGGGAGCAAACAGGCUUAGAUACCCUGGUAGUCCACCCGUAAACGUUGGAACUAGUUGUGGGGUCCAUUCCACGGAUUCCGUGACGCAGCUAACGCAUUAAGUUCACCGCCUGGGGAGUACGGCCGCAAGGCUAAAACUCAAAUGAAUUGACGGGGUCAUAGCUGUUU
rnacentral:rRNA from 1 species